CGACGCACAGGCUCUCAGAGCCCACGGUCGGCCCGGCGCCGUGGAGCGGAAUUAAAAGCAUGCGGGCAGAGUUCCUGCCCGAGUACGAAACAGGGAGCGCCGGCCACUGGACGCAUGCGCAUAGCAGCCUGCGGGCCUCAUUCUGCGCAGGCGCGGGGUCGUUCCUUAGCACCUCUGAAGCAUCUGGUCCCUCCCGCGUCUGAGUUUGUCAAGCCGCGCCAGACCCGAGUCUCGCGGCCUGAGCGUCUCCCGGGUGACACAGGUAAGCGGCGCCCGCACUGUGCGGCUGGGCCUGUGCCGGAGCCCACCCACACCUCCCGCGGCACAGUCCCGCCUUCCACUGCUGUCGCGGCAGAGUGGCCGAGGCCGUGGAGCAGACCCACCAGGAGCCAGAUGAGCGGAGAGGUCUGCGUGCACACCUGGCCGUGCUCCUACUACUUAGAGCUGGACAAGCGAUGGGUCCCUGGAAAGCUUUCCUUAACCUCCUGCUCCCUGAAGUUUGCGGCUGAUGAGGCCCAGGAGACGCUGGUGAGUUUCCCGCUGUCUGGCAUCACUGCGAUCAAGAAGGAGGCUUCUCACUUCGUCUUCAGCUCCAUCACUGUCCUGGAGAAGGACAACCGCAAGCACUGGUUCGGCUCCCUGCAGCCCAGUCGCAAUGCUGCAUUCAGUGUCAUCGAGCAUUUCUGGAGAGAGCUGCUGCUCUCCCAGCCGGAAGCACCGCUUCCUGCGACCAAGGGGAAGGAGCUGACUGGCCUCAUGGCCUGUUCCCAGAAGCGCCUGGAGGACACGGCCAGAGUCCUCCACCAUCAGGGCGAGCAGCUGGACAGCAUCACCAGGGGCCUGAACAAGAUGGAAUCCGACCUGGACGUGGCUGACAGCAGCCUGUUGCUUCAUGGGCACGCUGACCUCUGUGUCUUGGGGUUUUCUGGAGAGCCAUGUGCGGAAAGGACUUGGGUGUGUGUCCCAGCUCAGGAGAGGAGUUUGCUCCCCUCCCCUGCUCCCAGCUCACCUCCCGCCCUUCAGCUGAACCACAUGCGAGCUGGCCAGGCUCCCUGUCGCCAGCUCCCUCCUGACACAUGGCUUAGACCUCCUGCUUGUGGGGUGAGGUUGCUGACAGAGCUGGAGUCACCUUCCUGGUGGCCCUUUAGCUCCAAGCUUUGGAAAAUGCCAUCAGAAACAAAGCUUAAGGGAGACGCUUCAACGGCUAGUCCCAAAGCUCUUGGGAAGGAAGGGGUAGUGGUCAGAAUUCCUGCUGUUGUCUCCCAGAGAACAGCAUCCCAUGUCAAACCAGGGAGUCUCACCGUCCUAGUGUCUGGACUGGAAAUCCAUGAUUCGAGUUCUGCGCUCAUGCACAGGUUCGAAAGAGAAGACGUGGAUGACAUUAAGGUUCACACACCCUAUGAGAUCAGCAUCCGCCAGCGGUUUAUUGGGAAGCCUGACAUAGCCUAUCACUUGAUAUCUGCCAGGAUGCCAGAGGCCAUCCCCGUUUUGGAGGUGCAGUUCAGCAAAAAGAUGGAGGUGUUAGGAGACGCCCUGACACCCAGCAGCACCAAAACCUCCUCCCCAGCAGAGAAGGGCUGCUCCAUGUGGCACACAGCGUCUGGGCUGAUGGACCGGGCCGUGCACCACGAGCCCUGCCCAGGCAGCCAGGAUGGCCAGCCACUCCAGCUGCAGACGACCCAGCCGUUCAUUUCCGAGGGGGACGCCCAGGAACUGAGACAGAUCCUGAGGAAACUCAAAGGUCUUGCCCUGGACACCGAGGCAGAGCUGGAGAGGCAGGACGAGGCCCUGGAUGACAUCACCGCCGCCGUGGACCGGACCACCCUAACCAUCGACAAGCACAAUCGGAGGGCAAAGAAACUGACUUAGAGGGACAAGAAAGCAUGACAGUCACUUCCCUGAGUGCUUUGUUCUCAACACCUGCACGCUUCCUUGACCAGAAAGCCCGGGAAGUUGGGUCCAGGGCUAGGCGGUACCUGGACGCCUUGCCCUGGGAGGUGCAGGCCUGCCUGGGCUGUAGGGGCCUGGCUCCCUGUGCACUGUGAUGCUGACCAUGGCCCCCAGGGGGGAGGAGAAGCUCCAGGAGGCCUGCACCCCCAUGGUGGCCCCAGCUCCUCUUGCUCCCACCUGUCCUGGGCCCUGAUUCCCUGCUCCCUACCCUUACUCCCCUCACUCCUCCCCCCCACUCUCCCCCUUCUCCCCCCUCUCUCCUCCCCCCACUGCCCCCUGCUCCCCCCCACCCCACUCCCUGCCCUCCCUCCCCAUUCCUCCUCCCUGCAGGGCUCCCCCCUACCCACUCCCCCCUCCUUGCAGGCCACUCCCCUUUCAUACUUGAGCCCCUUGGAGCCUGGAGAGCAGCUGGAAGCUGACCCCAGUGCUCAAGGCUGCUUUGCAUGGCCAGCAGCACAGCUAGCGGAGUCUUCAUUGUUUCUCUGUCCUUGCUUGGUGCAAAAGGGCAAUUUAAGUCUCUGGUAAAGAAGUCUGCUGAUUUUUGACUCUGCCCCCCUAACUCUGUGUGCUAUGUGAGCAGAGCCCCUUCUGCAGGACCACAUUCAGGCCCGAGACCCCCCCCCCCCUCUCUGGGCCACUGUGCGUGGGCCCCAGUGCCCUCAGUCUGUCCUUCUCUGGGGACAGGCCAGUUCCUUCCUGGUUGUGCUGUGAUUUUCUACCCGAAGUCUAGUACAUCUGGAGGUCAUCCUAUAAACACCUGAAAUGUUCCCCUGCCCAGUUUUUAGCCAAGUGUGAAAAUAAUACAUAUUGCACCUAUUUUAAAAAGUGUCGAUUUUUUCUUUAGGUGCCCCAUUUCUGCCCAGAAAUAGAAGAGAUUCCGUAGUUUUAGAAUGUAUUUUGAAGAUACAUGUUGAUGCUGCUUUCUGCUUGGGAUCCCAGUGGGAGGGCCCCUCAGGAAAGGAUGGGGGCAGAGUGUGGAAGUGGGUGAGCCCUUCUCUCACAGGCUGGGCCACCUGCAGACUGCUUUGGAAUAGGCUCUCCUGUGGCUGUCCUCUGACUGUGCAGGUAUAGUGCUAAUUUUCUGGGGCUGCUAAUGAAGUACAAGUGGGGGGCCUAGGACAGCAGGCUUUGUUCUCUCCCAGGUCUGGAGGCCAGGAGACUGAGGUCAAGGUGUCACAGGGCCAUGCUUCCUCUGAAGGCUCCAGGAGGAUCUCUCCUGCCUCUCCUGACUGCCAGAGCCUCAGGAGUUCUGGGGUCAUGGCCGUGUCUCCCCAGUCUCUGCCUCCAUCACCAAAUGGCUGACUGAAAUUCCCCCUCCCUUGUCUCAUAAGGACACCUGUCACUGACUCAGGACCUGCCCUGAUCCAGGGCUAGCUUUUGCAUAAUGUGGCCAUUUCUGCUAAUGUCGCAUUCCAGUUCAGUGUGGAUGUGAAUUUGGGGUCACCUAGGAGUGCGCAAAUUUCUGGAAGCUUGCUUGUUCAAGAAGACACAGGAAGUAGCACGUCUAGAAAAUAACCUUCAUGGGUAUCUUCUGGUUCUUGUUACUUUGGUGAGAUAUAGUCCUCAUCUCUGUCUACUUUAUUUGACCUGUCCCUACCAACCUCCAGAAUGACAAGUGGGCCUGUGCUUUCAGGGCCGCCAGUCUGAUGCUGGCGUGUGAGUGAGUGCCCCAGCACUUUUCUGGCACUGUGAGAUUGGAGUUCUCAGCCCCAGAAGCUCCUUCUUCUCAGGCUCAGUGCUGGGGAGGACAAGGAGGGCACAGCAGAUGUGUACGUGUGUCAACAGGACAGUUAUUGAGAGCUUCUGCUGUGCCCAGAUGCAGUGGCGGGAUCGUGUCCUGUGGAGCUUGGAGUGAGGUGGGAGGAUGCAGUUCGUGCCCUGGGCCCUGGGCAUGUGCAGGUAGGCAGGCUGCCCUAACUCCAGAAGCUUCAGUUCCUGCAACAGCCCAUGAGGAAUGAGGUUCCUAGAGGUGGAGCAUGUGGUUCUCUGUGACAGCUGAACUCCAGACUCACACCAGGAACUCAGAGUGCACACACGUGUGCAUACACACAUGGACUUGCAUGUGCGCACACACACAUGCUGACCCCAGGCUCCUCAAAACUCCGUGGGUAUCUGUGCAUCUCACAUCAGCAGUCAGAGGAAGAGCCACAGGCCAGGUGACUUCUGCCAUCAAGAGCCCUGAAGUCGGAAGGAAAGCAAACCUGUCCCACCCUUAGCCUGCUAGGGCGGUCCUGCCAGCAUCCGCUCAUGCUGGAGACAACCACUGCCCUUCAACUCCUGGCAGCUGGGCUGCACAGACUUCUGCAACUGACAGUACUCAAAGCAGGGCCAGGACUCCCGGUGAGUUCUCCAGAACUAGCCUCUCCUUUUCCAGCACCUGGAGAUGCUUGAGACCCCAAGCACCAGCAAGGUAUGUGGCACUGAAGACAACUGGAGCGUUAGGGCAUUAUCUCUGGGCCAUUCUCUCCUGUGAAUACAUAAAUUGAUGGAGACAACAGUUCUCUGCAGAAUUAGACUGUUAAAAAAAAAAAAAAAAAGGUACAUCAGGAUCAUUUUAUGCUACUUAUUAAGCUUGACCCCAGAGUUAACUUUUUCAUCUUACACACUUCCACUAGCAAAACUCCAUUGCCAAAUCAGGCUGGAACCUAAGCACAGACACCUACCUGUUUAACCACUGGACUCCAAGGCACAGGCCAACCCUAACUAUGAAGGGCAACCUAAAAGGCCAGCCCUUUUCAAAAAUCCCUAUGAAACCAGGCAGUAAUUCCAACACCAGUUACUCCUAAUCCCAGGUGCUCUAACUCCACCCCCACAGGUCCCACCCCAGAUGCCCUGACUCUACUCCCCACCUCUCCCCUCCCCUGGUGUCCUUACUCCACCCCUUCUGCUCCCCUCCCGAGGUGCUCUGACUCUAAUCCCAACCUCUCCCCUCCCCUGGUGCCCUGACUCCACCCCCACAGGUCCCACCCCAGAUGCCCUGACUCUCCUCCCCACCUCUCCCCUCCCCUGGUGCCCUGACUCCACCCCCACAGCUCCCCUCCCCAGGUGCCCUGACUCUACUCCCCACCUCUCCCCUCCCCUGGUGUCCUAACUCCACCCCUUCUGCUCCCCUCCCGAGGUGCUCUGACUCCACCCCCACUGCUCCCAUCCCCUGGUGCCCUAACUCCAGCCCCCACUGCUCCCUAGUCUGGAUGGACUGGCCAUGCCCCACUUUUUGGACUCAGAGGACAUAACUGGGACUGGACACUGAGUUGCUUCUGGAAGCUGGACCAGGGAAAGCAGGUGAAUAGUCAGGUGGUGAUCUCUUUGGCCAUCUUCAGGCAGCCCAGGUGUUGGUGUGAUGGCUGGAGCCCAGUUCUUUGCAUCAGGUGAGGAGAUGCUCUGGAGGGUGUCAUGAGGACCCCACUGACGCUUAGCAGUGGCAGCGGGCUGUUGGCAAUGGGGCCUGUGGUGUCCACCCUGUUUUCUGCUUUCCUGAUGUGGGCCUUGACCCCUGACACUGACGUUCAGUCCAUUUGUGGGGUUGAGGUCACCCAUGUGCUUUAUUUCUGCACCAAAAUAUUAGUGUUUGCCCUUUAACUGACAAUUGGGGCUGGACUAUAUUGGUUUGUUGUCACCCUGGGAGGUGUUUGCACUUCCUAAAACACAAAAUGCUCUGAGUCCAGUUUUACUCCAUAUAAAGGUGGGCAAAACGCAAGACCCUUGCAGCUAUGGCACCAACUUCACGCUGACAUGAAACUGCUUUCACAUCUCAUCAAAAACAAUUGACUCUGGAACAAAACAACCCUGAGUUAAUUGGUCUGUUUCAGGCACAGGUGGGUUUUGUAUAAAAGGCCCAGAAGUAACUACUUCAUCUUGAGCCAUGUGACGCAUAUCACAAUGUCCGGGCUGUGCUACUUACAAGAGAGCGUCCAGGACUUGUGCGCAAAUGGGCUUGAUGUGUUCAGAUAAAACUGUGACAUUACAGUGUCAUUUAUUUCAUGUGUCA